UAAGACAGAGGGAGAUCUGUGUGUGACAAUGGGAGCUAUUGUAGCAUUAGCAGUGUUGCUGGGAACUUUGUCUUAUGGUAACUGUGUUGAACUGACGCAGCCAGGCUCUAUGGUUUUAACACCAGGACACUCUCUGACCAUCAGCUGUAAAGUCUCUGGGUAUUCCCUGACUAGCAGCAGCUACUGUACAGGCUGGAUCCGACAGCCUGCAGGGAAAGCUCUGGAGUGGAUCGGGUAUAUAUGCCAUAGUGGAAGCACAUAUUAUAAAGAUUCUCUGAAGAGCAAGUUCACCAUCUCCAGAGACACCUCCAGCAGCACAGUGUCUUUACAAGGGAGCAGCCUGCAGACUGGAGACACAGCUGUGUAUUACUGUGCCCCCUUGCUACUGAUCGACUGA